GUGCAACAUUAAGGAUGCAACUGCCGUUAAGAAGAAAAAGUAAAACACGGACGUGACGUGAGGAUUACGGAAGUUUUUUUUAUCAUAAGCACCCUUAAUUUUACUGUCGAUGGCUGCACCACUUUAAGAUUAAAAAUGCUAUUUGCAGACAACAGUUGUGAUUCAGUCGCUUUAUGGUGAGAAAAGACUGUUUACAACUGUUAACAACAUGGCACAAGUUCCUCCUUCCUCCGGAUCAAUCGUAGUAGCUGACUGGCAUCGAUGUAAAGACAGCAAAGAAUAUUUCAGCAAAAUUCUACACAAGAAGAGACGCAAAAACUUCGGCCUAUUGGAGUCUCCGUUGAUGCCCCCACACGUAGCUGUAGACACAGUUCACUAUAAGAUCUUCAUCUCUGGCAAGAGUGGAGUCGGGAAAACUGCUCUUGCUGCACGUCUUGCAGGCCAGAAUAUUCCUAACAUGACUGUCAAUAUACCACACAUGCACUAUGAAACCACAGGUAGGUCUAGAAUCAAUUGCUUUUAGAGUAAUUUACACAAUUAAGGGUAAAUAUGGUUACAAAUAUUCGUCCAAUUUAUCUCUUGUUGUUGAAGGUAUUGAGAUGACAAUGGUGUAUUGGCCAGUGAAACUGAGAGAAAAUGGCAGAGUGCUUUUCUUCCGUCUGCAGCUGUGGGACUGUGGAGAGAAUGUCUUGCGUAGAUUUGACCAUUUACUGCCAGUAUGUUUAUAAUAUAAAGUGUUUUCACACAGCACAUUGUAUUGAGUUAUGAACUAAUGUGAAACAGAAAAAAAGACUAUGCUAGUAUUAUAUUAGAUUAAAAA